UAAAGAAACUAUCUGCAACUGUUGAAACC
rnacentral:piRNA from 1 species